AGUGAACGCUGGCGGUAGGCCUAACACAUGCAAGUCGAACGGCAGCACAGUAAGAGCUUGCUCUUACGGGUGGCGAGUGGCGGACGGGUGAGGAAUACAUCGGAAUCUACUUUUUCGUGGGGGAUAACGUAGGGAGACUUACGCUAAUACCGCAUACGACCUACGGGUGAAGGCAGGGGAUCUUCGGACCUUGCGCGAUUGAAUGAGCCGAUGUCGGAUUAGCUAGUUGGGGGGGUAAAGGCCCACCAAGGCGACGAUCCGUAGCUGGUCUGAGAGGAUGAUCAGCCACCCUGGAACUGAGACACGGUCCAGACGCCUACGAGAGGCAGCAGUGGGGAAUAUUGGACAAUGGGCGCAAGCCUGAUCCAGCCAGACCGCGUGGGUGAAGAAGGCCUUCGGGUUGUAAAGCCCUUUUGUUGGGAAAGAAAAGCAGCAGGUUAAGACCACGCUGUUCUGACGGUAACCAAAGAAUAAGCACCGGCUAACUUCGUG
rnacentral:rRNA from 1 species